rnacentral:rRNA from 1 species
UACGUAGGGUGCGAGCGUUAAUCGGAAUUACUGGGCGUAAAGCGUGCGCAGGCGGUUUUGUAAGCCAGAUGUGAAAUCCCCGGGCUUAACCUGGGAAUGGCAUUUGGGACUGCAAGGCUGGAGUGCGGCAGAGGAGACUGGAACUCCUGGUGUAGCAGUGAAAUGCGUAGAUAUCAGGAGGAAUACCGAUGGCGAAGGCGGGUCUCUGGGCUGACACUGACGCCCAUGCACGAAAGCGUGGGGAGCAAACAGG